GAUCAUGGCUCAGGAUGAACGCUAGCUACAGGCUUAACACAUGCAAGUCGAGGGGCAGCGGGAUUGAAGCUUGCUUCAAUUGCCGGCGACCGGCGCACGGGUGAGUAACGCGUAUCCAACCUUCCGUACACUCAGGGAUAGCCUUUCGAAAGAAAGAUUAAUACCUGAUGGUAUGAUGAGAUUGCAUGAUAUCACCAUUAAAGAUUUAUCGGUGUACGAUGGGGAUGUCG
rnacentral:rRNA from 1 species